AAUAAACCACUUCGUUGAUUUGUUCAAUACAAUUUCAGUGUUUAAAUAAAAACAUUUGCCAUUCUAAAAUCAUAAAACGUAUAUCAAAGCUUGUUAAA